rnacentral:lncRNA from 1 species
UGAGCAUGACCACCUCGAGCAGUCAUAAGGAGGUCUACCUUCUCGUCGAUGACUAGCUCGAUGUUGCAUCUGUGUGUCUAGUUCUUUGACCUGAGGUACAUUGACAGGUUACCUUGAGUGUGUUAUAGUUUGACUACACCAUAACUCGAUCUCCUAGCCAUUCAAAAUUUUGAGGUGUAUGUUGGCUGUAGCAUAUUCAUUGUAGGAACC